rnacentral:tRNA from 1 species
GAUCACUCUUUCUAAGGAAGAACCUUAAUGGAACGCUCACUCGUUGAGCCUCUGCCUUUCGGUUCUCUUGGAACAAGACGGAAGAGAGUCACUCUUACCGUCGUGCAUACCUUAAGCGGGUCUGCCGCCUUCGUUUCUCUUUCUUCGCGAAUGACUUUGACUUGCGCUCGCGCGCCGCAUCGCACCCUUUGGGUGCUGGCGCUCCGCGAGGGCGCGGCAGCAAGCCGCGAUGGUCUGGCCGCGACGGCCGGUUGGCCUUGCGAGACUUGCGUCUCGUUGGCGAAAGCCGAUUCACGGCGCAGUCUUAGGGCUUGUAGCUCAGUUGGUUAGAGCGCGCGCUUGAUAAGCGUGAGGUCGGAGGUUCAAGUCCUCCCAGGCCCACCACUUCGCAAUCCGCAAGGAUUGUCGGAUCUUCGCAAUCCGCAAGGAUUGUCGAUCUCCUCGACACUUCGAAGAGGUGUUUAUCAGGGGCCGUAGCUCAGCUGGGAGAGCGCCUGCUUUGCAAGCAGGAUGUCGUCGGUUCGAUCCCGUCCGGCUCCACCAUUACCUUGGAUUGCGUGGAGAAUGCGUCGAUUUGAUGUAAAACGGGAGAAAGGCAUCGUUAAUAGUUUCAGACCAGCUUCACUGGGUGUUCUGUAUGACAUCGUAAAGAGAAGAUUUGUUCGAACUUAUCAUAGGCCCGGAAGGAGUGUGAUUUGUGCGCGGGAGACGCUCAAUCUCCCGCAUAUGAUGGAUUCGCAUUAACACGCAGCCCUUGAACCGAUCUCGAGAAGCUGGUCUUUUUGUGUCAAUUCGAUUGAAGGCAAAUAGAUGCACAGGAUUUGGUUUGAGCGGAAGAUCCCUUUGGGGAUCGCGUGAUGGGUAUUGGCAAUGAGAACGAUCAAGUGUCUUAAGGGCAAUUGGUGGAUGCGACUCGCAUGACACA